GUCUCUGUAGCUCAAUGGUAGAGCGUCUGACUGGUGUGCGGAAGGUCGUAGAUUUGACUCCUGUUGGGGGAACU